UUGGAAGUAAAAGUCGUAACAAGGUUUCCGUACAUGAACCUACGGAAGGAUCAUUG
rnacentral:rRNA from 2 species